GUCUCUGCUUGUCAAAAGGCAGCUGCCGAGCCAGCCCUAAACGCCGGGAGCGCCAAGCAGCGUGUCCACCCGCCGGACCAGGGGAGAGUCCUGGUCCUUGGCAGGGUGUGAGCAGCUGUACCAGCGGGAAAGUGGAGUUUGGGCAGGACUCAGUACCAGUUCCUGGGAAGCUACCACCUCUCACCGGCCUUCUGAUGCCAAGCCGAAGCUUUGAGGUAUUCUGCAUGGUGUGACAUUCCAGGCACUGUGAAGUUGUCAACCCUUUGCUGGUGACA
rnacentral:lncRNA from 1 species